GGGGCCAGAUGAGGGCCUGGAGAGAGCCUCCACCCACCGUCACAGGGCCGGGGGAGACAGAUUGAGGAGAGGCACCUGCCCCUCUCUCUUUGCAGAGUGGAAUGACAGCUGAUGACAUCAUUGUGAAAGCCACAGUACUACAGAGAUGUUUGGACAUUCAUCAGAGGCAGGCCUGUUGUGGGAAAGUCAGGGCUCUGGUGAGGAAAUCUGAGAUUCUGCAAACUGGAACCGGGUUAUCCUAUGGGUGCCCUUUCGAACCCUCUGGGCAUGCAGAGGAGGCUCGCUCUUCUCUGGUAAUAGUUCCCACUUCCUACACUGGAAUAUGCUGCAGAAGCCUCACCCCUAUGAUGCAAUGGGAAUCCCACUCAGUAGUUUUGCAGUAACUAGCCGGUAGGUAUGCCCCCGUAGGAGCCUGAGGAGCAGUUCUGGGAUUGGAAUUUGAGGGUGUUUGAUCAAAGGGCCAGAAUCAAGCUGGAUAAAUAAAAAACACCUUUGGCUUGGGAGCACUUUCUCAGGGUAUGGGUUUAUCAAGGACCUCAGGGCAUGGGGCAAACCCACUGCUAGGGUGGACCCAUGUAGACUGGAAAAAAUGAUGCUCAACUCUCAGUAAGUUAGACAUGACUUAGUUGUAGGAACAUGUAGUGGAUGGAUAAAGAGGCCGAGGGAAGUUGGUGUGUGGGAUGGAGACAUCAUGUGAGACCAGAAGGCCCACUAGGGCCAUGCUCCACAGAGGACCCAGAGGGCACACCUUCCACCAGAGCCUCAGGAAUGUACCGGUAAGAGGGACCUGUAUUCCUAAGAGGCGUCAGGGUGGUGUCCUCUGCAGGCUGGGUGUGAUGGCAGGAAGGAGGUCCUUAGUUGGGCUCAUUGAUAUUCCUGGGGAAAAUGUGGCCCUGAAAAGAUUGAGAACCAAAUGGUGGCAGUGACCUGCAAAAGCCAGAGGGCACGGUUACCAUGACAAUCUCAGAGGAGCAUCUGAGGCAGCUUGAUCUGCAGGGAGUUGUGGGGAAGGUUAAUAGAGGGUGGUGUCAGAAUAGACAGGCAGCCAACAAGGGUGCUGCUUGAUGUCCAUGAUAAGAAAGCAAGAAUUGAUGAGCAGGAGGCUGAGGGUGUUUAACUCAAUACAAAGUCAUGAUCCCACUCUCAAUUCCUAAACUUCAACCAAGUUUCAGAUUUAGAUCCCAGUUCUAGAGGAGUCCCUACCCCAGGAGGAAGGACCCUGGAACCUCAUGGCAAGUAUAUGCUGGAACAAUUCCUUCUGUCUUUCUGCCAAGGAGUCUACGGCCAUUUACUCGGGGGACUGUACACUGCGAAAGGGAAACAGGCAGAAUUUGGGGGCGUAUUGACACUGGGUGUGAGCUGAUAUUGAUGCCUAUAGGCCUACAGCACCAUCAUGUCCCCAUCACAGUGGGACUUACAGAAGCCGGGAAUAAACCUGGACACAUCACAGUGGAACCACCGGGUCCACAGACCCAGCCCUGUUUAUCUCCCCAUUCCCCAAGUGUUUAAUUGGUAUUGAUGCACUGGCAGCUAGAGUAACCCCCACACUGGGUCCCAAGUCUCUGGAAUAAGGGGUCUCAUUGUCUGAAAGCCAAAGGGAAAUCUCUGCAACUGACUUCAUUCUGGCCAAAUAAAAAAAGAUAUUGAGUCCCAGGGUGGGUCUUAUGAAAGGUACUGUAGUUAUUGUAGGUGUAGCACCUCCAUUAGAGAGCUGAAGGAUGAGGGGUGGUGUUGGGGUUGCCUAUUAUUUUCACGUGACCCAGCAAUCUGUCCCCAAAGAAGCCUGAUGGGGCCUAAAGAAUGAAUGGGAUUACUUCAGACUUGACAGAGUAGGAGUCAUAAUUGCAGCUGCCAUGCUGGCUGGAUAUCACUGGUAGAGCAGAUUGAUAAGGCCUCAGGCACACAGUGUGCAGCUGUGGAUUUGGUCAGUGUGUUCCUUUCCACUCCAAUGAGAAAAACUGUAAAUGAAGUGAUUCAUGUGGGAUCCACAACAUGUUUCUUUAUAGUUGACCUCAGGGUUAUUGUCACUGACCUGCCCUCUAUAGUAGAGUCUUCAGAGAUCUGAAGAACCCGGCAUCCUAUAGAAUAGUGAAUCAGCUCAUUUCAUCAACAACAUCAGGUUGACUAGGAUGGAUGAGUAGGAGGUGGAAAGUAUGCUGAAGGCCUUGGCAAAUAACGUGCUCUUCAGAAGAUGGAAGAUAAACCAUACAGAGAUUCAGGAGUCGCCACUGUGGUGAAGUUUUAUUUGUCCGGUGGUUGAGGACAUCCAGGAGUUUCUCCUCCAGAGUAAAAGACAAACUGUUGCAUCUUGCAUCCUCACGACAAAGAAGGAAGCACACUGCCUGGUGAACAUCUUUGAGUUCUGACAACACCGCAUCCCACAUCUAUUGCUUUGGCCCAUACUCUAGGAGAAAUAGGAGGGGACUUACUUCAAUUGGGCCUACUGAGGAAAGGACACUGUGGCAGAUUCAGGCCACGAGGCAGCACCAUCCCUCAGACCCACCUGGAGGUGUCAGUGGUGGGGAAAGAUGCAGGAUGGAGUUGAAACAAGCAACAGUGGGGAAGUCACAUAGAGGGCCUGGGAUUCUGGAGUAAGGCUGUGCCAUCCACAGCAGAGCCGUAUGCCCCUGUUAGAAGCAACUUUUGGCAUGUUACUGGCCCUGAUAAGAGAAUACUUGCCAUGGGACAUCAAACAACCAUGUGAUUUCAAAUGCCCAUAUGAGUUGGCUUCUGUAACUCAGGAAGUCAUAGAUUGGACAGACCCCAAAGCAUUCAUCAUGAGAUGGAAAUGGUCCAUCUGGGUUGAGCAUGAAUCCUAUGUUGACACCUCCAGAAAAUACCCGAACCUGAAGUGGCACUAAACAACCAAGCAGACAAAUUGAAGUUAGCCAGCCCUCAGCAUGGGUCAGGUCAGCCCAGGCCUGGCAGAAUCGGUGCAUCAGUGGAGCAACCACAGCGGCAGGGAUGAGGCUAAAUAUGGGUCCAGAAGCACUGACUGCCACCUUCCAAGACAGAUCCAGCUGCUGCCACCUCUGAAUGUCCAACUCAUUAGCAUUUGAGGCCAAUGAUGUGCCUCAGUGGGGCUACAUUUCUUUAGGUGACUAACUCGCUGAUAAGUGAUGAGUUGACUACAUUGAGCCACUUCCAUCCUGGAAGGGCCAGAGGUUCAUCUUCACAGGGUUAGGCACCAUUCCAUGAGUGGGUUUUCCUGUCCUGCUCUCAGACCCUCAGUCAGCACCAUUCUCUGGGGACUGUUGAUGUUCCUGAUCCACAGGCUUGACAUUGCUCUUAGCACACUGUCUUCCUGGGGGAACCCACUUGACAAGGAAGUAGGUGCAGCAUUUUCACGGCCGUGGGAUCCACUGGUUCUAUCAUCAUCUGUACCACCAAGGGUCUGCCAGCCACAAAGAAUGCCGGACAGGUCUUCUACAGGCACAACUCAGUGCCAGUCUGGAGGAAGCACUUUGAGGGCUGGGUGCUGUCUUUCAGGACAUGGUGCAUUUAUUAAAUCAGAGACAUGUCUACAGUGCUGUGUUCUCAGUAGGAAGAACAUGUGGGUCAAGAAACCAAGGAGUGGAAGUGAGUAUGGCUCCAUGUCUCAUUCCUUAGAUUCACCUGCUGUGGGAUUUUGCACUUCUCAUCUCCCAAACCUGUGCUCUGCAGGGUAGAAGGUCCUGGAUUCUAAAGGAGGGUACUCUUCAAUCAGGACAAAUGAGAGCCCACUGAACAGCACAUUACUAUUGCCCGCAGGGAGAUUUGGACAGUAUGUGCCCAGAGACUAGCAAGUGAGGAGUCCCCUCCUCUCCAGGCACAGGUCAACAAAAAUUAAUUUAGUGCCUAUGCUGAACCAGGUAUGCCCUCAUAUGCUCAAGUGCCUGACAUUCUAGAUGCUUCACAAGACCAAAGUGGAGCCACUGGAGUGUUUUAGGUUUAAAGAAAUACUAGGUGUUCCAAUAAAAUAUGCACACCACUUAGAUGCAGAUACCUCCUAAAAACAGGAAGUGCAUGAGCACUGGUGAGGGGCAUUGUGACUGCCUUGAACACUUGCAACUUUGAGGUGAAUGAAUGCACUGGCUUCUGGUUGCAACAUACAAUAACACAUUGUGCUACUUUGUAUUGAGAUGUCCUGGACUCACACAGAAACUCAGGGCUAUGGAAUGAAGCUACCACGUUUCCAGAGAAGGAGGAGGAGGAAGAGGAGG